UGAGAGUGGCGCACGGGUGCGUAACACGUAUGUAACCUACCUUAAUCUGGGGGAUAGCCUCUCGAAAGAGAGAUUAACACCGCAUAAUAUGUUUGAACAGCAUUGUUUAAACAUCAAAUAUUUAUAGGAUUAAGAUGGGCAUGCGGAACAUUAGCUAGUUGGUAAGGUAAUGGCUUACCAAGGCUACGAUGUUUAGGGGAUCUGAGAGGAUGACCCCCCACACUGGUACUGAGACACGGACCAGACUCCUACGGGAGGCAGCAGUAAGGAAUAUUGGUCAAUGGGCGCAAGCCUGAACCAGCCAUGCCGCGUGCAGGAAGACGGCCCUACGGGUUGUAAACUGCUUUUGUACCGGAAUAAACCUUGAUACGUGUAUCGAGCUGAAUGUACGGUAAGAAUAAGGAUCGGCUAACUCCGUGCCAGCAGCCGCGGUAAUACGGAGGAUCCAAGCGUUAUCCGGAUUUAUUGGGUUUAAAGGGUGCGUAGGUGGCCUGUUAAGUCAGGGGUGAAAGACGGUAGCUUAACUAUCGCAGUGCCUUUGAUACUGACGGGCUUGAAUACACUAGAGGUAGGCGGAAUGUGACAAGUAGCGGUGAAAUGCAUAGAUAUGUCACAGAACACCAAUUGCGAAGGCAGCUUACUAUGGUGUCAUUGACACUGAGGCACGAAA
rnacentral:rRNA from 1 species